GAUGAACGCUGGCGGCGUGCCUAAUACAUGCCAGUCGAGCGAACAGACGAGGAGCUUGCUCCUCUGACGUUAGCGGCGGACGGGUGAGUAACACGUGGAUAACCUACCUAUAAGACUGGGAUAACUUCGGGAAACCGGAGCUAAUACCGGAUAAUAUAUUGAACCGCAUGGUUCAAUAGUGAAAGACGGUUUUGCUGUCACUUAUAGAUGGAUCCGCGCCGCAUUAGCUAGUUGGUAAGGUAACGGCUUACCAAGGCAACGAUGCGUAGCCGACCUGAGAGGGUGAUCGGCCACACUGGAACUGAGACACGGUCCAGACUCCUACGGGAGGCAGCAGUAGGGAAUCUUGCGCAAUGGGCGAAAGCCUGACGGAGCAACGCCGCGUGAGUGAUGAAGGUCUUCGGAUCGUAAAACUCUGUUAUUAGGGAAGAACAAAUGUGUAAGUAACUAUGCACGUCUUGACGGUACCUAAUCAGAAAGCCACGGCUAACUACGUG
rnacentral:rRNA from 1 species